rnacentral:rRNA from 1 species
UAUGCUUAGGGCUACACACGUGCUACAAUGGGUAGUACAGAGGGUUGCCAAGCCGUAAGGUGGAGCUAAUCCCUUAAAGCUACUCUCAGUUCGGAUUGUAGGCUGAAACUCGCCUACAUGAAGCUGGAGUUACUAGUAAUCGCAGAUCAGAAUGCUGCGGUGAAUGCGUUCCCGGGUCUUGUACACACCGCCCGUCACACCACGGGAGUUGGAGACGCCCGAAGCCGAUUAUCUAACCUUUUGGAAGAAGUCGUCGAAGGUGGAAUCAAUAACUGGGGUGAAGUCGUAACAAGGUAGCCGUAUCGGAAGGUGCGGCUGGAUCACCUCCUUUCUAAGGAGA